CCCGGCGGAGCGCGAGACUGGAGCUGCAGAUUUUCUCCACCAUGGCCAGACGCCCCCGGAGCAGCAGGAUCUGGCACUUUGUCCUGAAUGCAGCCCGCCGAGACGCAGAGGCCCGGGCCGUGGCUCUGGCAGGCUCCCCUAACUGGGGCUACGACUCUGAUGGGCAGCACAGCGACUCGGACUCAGACCCCGAGUACUCCACGCUGCCGCCAUCGAUCCCCAGCGCGGUGCCCGUGACCGGCGACUCGUUCUGUGACUGUGCCGGGCAGAGCGAGGCUUCCUUCUGUAGCAGCCUGCACUCAGCCCACAGGGGCAAAGACUGCCGCUGUGGAGAGGAAGACGAGUAUUUCGACUGGGUGUAGGAUGUCCUGAAUAAGUCAUCAGCCACCCUGCUGAGCUGUGACAACCGCAAGGUCAGCUUCCAUAUGGUCAGCUGCGGCACAGCGGCCAUCCGGGGCACCAAGGAGCUUGGGGAGGGCCAGCACUUCUGGGAGAUCAAGAUGACCUCGCCCGUCUACGGCACCGACAUGAUGGUGGGCAUUGGGACGUCGGAUGUGGACCUGGACAAAUACCGCCACACGUUCUACAGCCUGCUGGGCAGGGACGAGGACAGCUGGGGCCUGUCCUACAUGGGCCUCCUCCACCACAAGGGCGACAAGACCAGCUUGUCCUCAAGGUUCGGCCAGGGCUCUAUCAUUGGCGUGCACCUGGAUACCUGGCACGGGACACUGACCUUCUUCAAGAACAGGAAGUGCAUAGGCGUGGCAGCCACCAAGCUGCAGAACAAGAGGUUCUACCCGAUGGUGUGCUCCACCGCGGCACGCAGCAGCAUGAAGGUCACUCGCUCCUGCGCCAGCGCCACCUCUCUCCAGUACCUCUGCUGCCACCGCCUUCGCCAGCUGCGGCCGGACUCGGGGGACACGCUGGGAGGCCUGCCCCUGCCGCCAGGCCUCAAGCAGGUGCUGCACAACAAGCUGGGCUGGGUCCUGAGCAUGAGCUGCAGCCGCCACAAGGCUCCAGCGCCCGAUCCCCAGGCGGCAGCAUCGGCCCGCCCCAGCAGUCCCGAGCCCCGGCCCUGCCAGAGGAAGCGCUGCCGCCGGACCUGACCGACUUCCCAGUGGCUGCCUCCCUAGGCUGGGACAGCCAUUUUCUCUGUUCCUUCUGGCCACACUCCAGGGUGGAGUUGGAUGAGCCAUCUCUCACCUCCUGAGGCUGGGUCAGUCCUUUCUGUGGGGGCUCCAGGGCCCUUCCACUGCUGUGCUGGGUGGGGAAGCAGCUGCCCCAAGCCCCAGGUCUCCUGGGAGGCUGCGAGGAGAGCCUGGCUGGAGCCCGCUGUUCCCACAGGGCCUUUGUUGUUCCUAACUUACUCUGCAUGCUGUCAGGAGCC